rnacentral:miRNA from 1 species
GACGUCGAUAUUCGACGUCAUAAACACGAUCAACUUUGGUGUUUAUGACGUCGAUAUUCGACGUCAUAAACACGAACAACUUUGGUGUUUAUGACGUCGAUAUUCGACGUCAUAAACACGAUCAACUUUGGUGUUUAUGACGUCGAUAUUCGACGUCAUAAACACGAGCAACUUCGGUGUUUAUGACGUCGAUAUUCGACGUCAUAAACACGAGCAACUUCGGUGUUUAUGACGUCGAUAUUCGACGUC